rnacentral:ncRNA from 1 species
GGCUCUGGAGAGUCUCAAGUAAGAGCGCCGAAGGUGUACGGCAGUUUCAUUAGCUGCCAAUCUCUCAGGCAAAAGGACAGAGUAU